rnacentral:tRNA from 1 species
AUAGUUAUAGUUAAAUAGGAAUAAUAUUUCUUUAAGAAAAAGGAAAGUUAUCAGUUCGAUUAUGAUUAACCUUC